rnacentral:lncRNA from 1 species
GCGACGUCCCCGAAUGGCGAGUUUGGGAAGGAACUGAGCCCGAUGGCUCUGCCCUGCUGGGUUCCCCAUCUCGGGCACCUGUCGCCUGCAGUGAGGGUGCCCUCGGUCCUGCUACUGAGGUGGUGGGGACGGUGCCUGGAGCACUUACCAGAAUGAACUGGUGUUUGAGGUCCCUGUGAGCGGCCUGUGGUGGUCUCUCACUGUGUUCUGAACUCGAGCUGGGGAAGAGGAGUGCUGUUUAUUGUCUCUCCAAAACCCCAGCAGAGAUGUUAAGCAACUUGCUCAGGACUUAUCAGAGCCAUCAAUCACAACUACACUCUGGAUCUCCAAGUGGAGAUAGAUGGAACAGGCAUCAUCUUCCAGACUUGUUGGACCACAUGGGUACCCAAAGAGGUGCAGGCACUGAGAGAUUUACAAGAAAAGAUCAAUGGAGAAGUAACCAUUCAGUUGACUACAGGAUUCUCUGAGCUGCAAAAUGACCCACCAGGUUUCUUUAAGUUGCAAGCCCCUGCUGGUCUCUCUCCUUCAGGCUGAUUUAAACUAAGGCCGAACUCACGAUAUGAUGGCAGGUGCUGGAGCAGCUAUCUUGGACCGUGUGAUAAAAGUUACUGAUUGAGAAUGGCAGAGCAAUAAGACGGAUGGAAUCUGGGGCUUCAAAACCAUGAAACUGCCAUGUUAGCCCUGGACUGCUUAAGUUAUUAUUGUCACAUGGAGGAGAAAUAAACUUCCAGUGGGUUUAAGCCAUUGUUAUUUUGAUCUUUAGUUACAGCAACUGAACUGCUUCACUUUGCAUAGCUACUUCUAACCAUCCUUCAAAAGCUACCUGAGGGCCACUUCUCCCAGGAAGCAUCCCUUGAUUGUACCAACGAUAGCCUGCCUCACGUACCACAUUACCCAUCCCAGAGCAUGUUGCCUCAACCAAAUCUUGAUGCGCCGAAUUCUAUUUUAUUUAAUGUUAUCACUCCAAUAUAGGGCAUGGCACACAUCAGGAGGCAUGGAAAGACGGUGAUUGAGUUGGGUUGUGACUGUCCUUUGUUCAUGGUUGGUUUGAUGUCCCUUUCACAGCAUAGUACCUUCCAG